rnacentral:misc_RNA from 1 species
UCUCCGUUGGUGAACCAGCGGAGGGAUCAUUACAGAGUUGCAAAACUCCCAAACCAUUGUGAACGUUACCUAUCCCGUUGCUUCGGCGGGCGGCCCGGGCCCCGCGCCCGGCGCCCCCCGGCCCCCCGUGGGCGCCCGCCGGAGGUAAACCAAACCCUUGAAUUGUAUGGCCUCUCUGAGUCUUCUGUACUGAAUAAGUCAAAACUUUCAACAACGGAUCUCUUGGUUCUG